UUUUCCCUACCCAUAUAGACUAUAGAGCAUAGCGCUUAGGUUCCAAGCCCUUCCAGAAGUGUUCACUUCCACCGACUAUAGUUACGCCGCUGUUUGAGAUUUCUGAUCAACACAAGACUGCACCAAUAAUUGGCCUAAGUUCAAGUUCCAAUCAGGAUUCUCUGGUUUUCGUGCAUAUAUCAAAUUGGAAGAAGUUGCAUCUAGCUGGACCUAUUGGUAAUUCAGUCUUUUACUUGGUGCACGAUGCCUGGAUAUGCUCACUGCCAGAGGAUAGCAAAUGUGUAGGAUGGAACAAAUACGAGUAAUGCUAUGGGACGAGGCAGGGUAAAUCGUAUUCCAUAAAUCGGAGCUUCCCCUUCUUAUUUAAAAGAAGAUCAGUCCUACAUCGUCGUUAUCAGGCGUUGAGGCAGAAGAUACACAAUGAAAUCCGGCACGUAUAUGCUGGAAUUCUAGCUCGGUUUUGUCAGCAGCAAUUUAGGGACCAAAGAGAACAAAGAUCUUACUGCUGAAACUCAUGUAUAAGAUCCAGAAAUCAAAACGAAAGUUGAGCAUAUAACCACCACCAUUGCUGCUGUUCAUUAUCUAACAUGCUAGGUUAACUCUUUUCUAAGGCGUCAGAUUGUUAAAAUAUCAAAUGAUCAAGAGGUUGCCUUACUCUCAGAGAUGUUUAGAUCAAAAGCGAAAAGCAAGCACUAAUGAAUUGUUUUGGCGUUAGCAUGAAUAGGAUUUUCUCCUUUUGCUUAACACCUUUUGCGCAUAUAUAUCUAGAGCAACUAGAACAACUAUUUUUUUGGCAGCUGCCAUAUAUAUUGAAAAGUGAUCAUAUUGUACUGUUUUGUCGUUUA